rnacentral:rRNA from 1 species
CCUACGGGAGGCAGCAGUGGGGAAUAUUGGACAAUGGGCGAAAGCCUGAUCCAGCAAUUCCGCGUGUGUGAAGAAGGCCUUCGGGUUGUAAAGCACUUUAGUUGGGAAGAAACAGCUUGGCCACACCAAGCCUUGACGGUACCCAAAGAAUAAGCACCGGCUAACUCUGUGCCAGCAGCCGCGGUAAUACAGAGGGUGCAAGCGUUAAUCGGAUUUACUGGGCGUAAAGGGUGCGUAGGUGGUUUUGUAAGUCGGAUGUGAAAGCCUGGGGCUCAACCUCAGAAUUGCACUCGAUACUGCAAGACUAGAGUUCGGUAGAGGGCGGCGGAAUUCCCGGGUGUAGCGGUGAAAUGCGUAGAUAUCGGGAGGAACAUCAAUGGCGAAGGCAGCCGCCUGGGCCUGAACCUGACACUGAGGCACGAAAGCGUGGGUAGCAAACAGGAUUAGAUACCCUGGUAGUCCACGCUGUAAACGAUGAGAACUUGACGUUGGUUCGUUUUACGAAUCGGUGUCGCAGCUAACGCGAUAAGUUCUCCGCCUGGGGAUACGGCCGCAAGGUUGAAACUUAAGGAAUUGACGGCUGNGAGNGCGAGCGACACGAGGAGAG